ACUCCUACGGGAGGCAGCAGUGGGAAUAUUGCACAAUGGGAAGGCCAUCGAUGCAGCCAUGCCGCGCUGUGUGAAGAAGGCCAAUUCGGGCUUGGUUAAAGACACUUUCAGUAGGGAGGAAGGUAGUGUAGUUAACACCUGCAUUAUUUGACGUUACCUACAGAAGAAGCACCGGCUAACUCCGUGCCAGCAGCCGCGGUAAUACGGAGGGUGCGAGCGUUAAUCGGAAUUACUGGGCGUAAAGCGCAUGCAGGCGGCCUGUUAAGUCAGAUGUGAAAGCC
rnacentral:rRNA from 1 species